rnacentral:rRNA from 1 species
GAUGAACGCUGGCGGCGUGCCUAAUACAUGCAAGUCGAGCGAACAGAUGAGGAGUUUGCUCCUCUGACGUUAGCGGCGGACGGGUGAGUAACACGUGGAUAACCUACCUAUAAGACUGGGAUAACUUCGGGAAACCGGAGCUAAUACCGGAUAAUAUAUUGAACCGCAUGGUUCAAUAGUGAAAGACGGUUUUGCUGUCACUUAUAGAUGGAUCCGCGCCGCAUUAGCUAGUUGGUAAGGUAACGGCUUACCAAGGCAACGAUGCGUAGCCGACCUGAGAGGGUGAUCGGCCACACUAGAACUGAGACACGGUCCAGACUCCUACGGGAGGCAGCAGUAGGGAAUCUUCCGCAAUGGGCGAAAGCCUGACGGAGCAACGCCGCGUGAUUGAUGAAGGUCUUCGGAUCGUAAAACUCUGUUAUUAGGGAAGAACAAAUGUGUAAGUAACUAUGCACGUCUUGACGGUACCUAAUCAGAAAGCCACGGCUAACUACGUG